GUCGAAAACUCGAGAUACUGAGGGAAGCCCAAGCUCACACGCCCUGGUCCUGCACACAACAACUAGGGCUUUUUAGAUAAUAAAAUAAGAUCAAAAUCGGAUUCUGAAUUCGAAGUUAAUAUAUUGGGUUUUAAGGGGAAUUUGAAAAGUUCUUCCAAAUCCCUGAAAGGGCGAAGUGCAUAAAAUGCCCUAAAUCUGAAGCUUUUUGAAAGUUGAAACUU